UUGUUAGAGAAUCACCAGGAAGUUGAAUAAAUCUCAUAGGAGUUGGGAUGAAGAAGUUAUCCCACUUUCAAAUCAGGUGAUUCCAGUUUCCCAGUUUGGAAAUAGGACAUCUUCUUCGUCGUUCCAAUCAAACCAGGAUGAAUCACUUUGUAAGAAGCUUCAUUUGGAUACAUAAAGUGGUGGAAAAUCACCAGGAAGUUGAAUAAAUCUCAUAGGAGUUGGGCGUAAGAAGUUAUCCCACUUUCAAAUUAGGUGAUUCCAGUUUCCCUGUUUGGGAAUAGGACAGCUUUUUUGUCGUUCCAAUGAAACCAGGAUGAAUCACUUUGUAAGAAUUGAUUUGGAUACGUAAAUUGUUAGAGAAUCACCUGGAAGUUGAAUAAAUCUUAUAGGAGUUGGGAUGAAGAAGUUAUCCCACUUUCAAAUCAGGUGAUUCCAGUUUUCCAGUUUGGGAAUAGGACAGCUUCUUCGUCGUUCCAAUCAAACCAGGAUGAAUCUCUUUGAAAAAAUCAUGAUAUGGAUACAUAAAGUGGUGGAGAAUCACCAGGAAGUUGAAUAAAUCUCAUAGGAGUUGG